UACGGAGGGAGCUAGCGUUGUUCGGAAUUACUGGGCGUAAAGCGCACGUAGGCGGCUUUUUAAGUCAGGGGUGAAAUCCCGGGGCUCAACCCCGGAACUGCCCUUGAAACUGGAGAGCUAGAAUCUUGGAGAGGCGAGUGGAAUUCCGAGUGUAGAGGUGAAAUUCGUAGAUAUUCGGAAGAACACCAGUGGCGAAGGCGACUCGCUGGACAAGUAUUGACGCUGAAGUGCGAAAGCGUGGGGAGCAAACAGG
rnacentral:rRNA from 1 species